rnacentral:rRNA from 1 species
UUGAAAGGGAAACGAUUGAAGUCAGUCGUACCUGCGGGUAAUCAGCCUUUUGGGCAUGAUUCUGUGGAGCGUGAGGAGUUAAACGCCUUCAUGCCUGCAUAUUCGUGUACUUUGGGUGUACUUGCCUGUGUGGUUAGUUAACAUCAUUUUGGUUAUCAUAAAAUGGUUGGAGGAGUGUAGCUUCGAUUUCGAUUGAAGUGUUAUAGCCUUCGGCAGAUGUGAUGAUCGGGAUUGAGGAUUGCAACGGAUACCCUUCGGGGCUACCUGUCUGGUCUCUGAUCGUUGCUCUGGUGCCGAAAGCGUGCUUACGGUUAUCAAAGUCGAUGGUCAACAGGUUAGAACGGGUUAAAUUCGUUAAGGAUGUUGACGUA